AUGAACGCUGGCGGCGUGCCUAAUACAUGCAAGUCGAGCGAACGGACGAGAAACUUGCUUCUCUGAUGUUAGCGGCGGACGGGUGAGUAACACGUGGAUAACCUACCUAUAAGACUGGGAUAACUUCGGGAAACCGGAGCUAAUACCGGAUAAUAUUUUGAACCGCAUGGUUCAAAAGUGAAAGACGGUCUUGCUGUCACUUAUAGAUGGAUCCGCGCUGCAUUAGCUAGUUGGUAAGGUAACGGCUUACCAAGGCAACGAUGCAUAGCCGACCUGAGAGGGUGAUCGGCCACACUGGAACUGAGACACGGUCCAGACUCCUACGGGAGGCAGCAGUAGGGAAUCUUCCGCAAUGGGCGAAAGCCUGACGGAGCAACGCCGCGUGAGUGAUGAAGGUCUUCGGAUCGUAAAACUCUGUUAUUAGGGAAGAACAUAUGUGUAAGUAACUGUGCACAUCUUGACGGUACCUAAUCAGAAAGCCACGGCUAACUACGUG
rnacentral:rRNA from 1 species